AUUGAACGCUAGCGGGAUGCUUUACACCUGCAAGUAGAACGAGAGGCGGACGGGUGAGUAAUAUAUCGGAACGUGCCCAGUAGCGGGGGAUAACUACUAGAAAGAGUGGAUAAAACCGCUUAAUAUUGGAGCGGGCGAUAUCGGUUUAGCUAGUUGGUGGGGUAAAGGUACACCAAGGCAACGAUCCGUAGCUGGUUUGAGAUGACGACAAGGCACACUGGGACUGAGACACGGCCCAGACUCCUACGGGAGGCAGCAGUGGUGAAUUUUGGACCAUGGGGGAUACCCUGAUCCAGCCAUCCCGCGUGUAUGAGAAGGCCUUCGGUUUGUAAAGUACUUUUGGCAGAGAAGCGGUAUCUGCAGAAUAAGCACCGGCUAACUACGUGCCAGCCGCCGCGGCAAUAC
rnacentral:rRNA from 1 species